rnacentral:rRNA from 1 species
AACACAUGCAAGUCGAACGGCAGCACAGAGGAGCUUGCUCCUUGGGUGGCGAGUGGCGGACGGGUGAGGAAUACGUCGGAAUCUGCCUAUUUGUGGGGGAUAACGUAGGGAAACUUACGCUAAUACCGCAUACGACCUACGGGUGAAAGUGGGGGACCGCAAGGCCUCACGCAGAUAGAUGAGCCGACGUCGGAUUAGCUAGUUGGCGGGGUAAAGGCCCACCAAGGCGACGAUCCGUAGCUGGUCUGAGAGGAUGAUCAGCCACACUGGAACUGAGACACGGUCCAGACUCCUACGGGAGGCAGCAGUGGGGAAUAUUGGACAAUGGGCGCAAGCCUGAUCCAGCCAUGCCGCGUGUGUGAAGAAGGCCUUCGGGUUGUAAAGCACUUUUGUCCGGAAAGAAAAGCUUAGGGUUAAUAACCCUGAGUCAUGACGGUACCGGAAGAAUAAGCACCGGCUAACUUCGUGCCAGCAGCCGCGGUAAUACGAAGGGUGCAAGCGUUACUCGGAAUUACUGGGCGUAAA